rnacentral:lncRNA from 1 species
AAACUGGUUUAAAAACCCAAUUGACAAAGAAGGGUAUAAGUGUUUAACCAUGGCCGGGUGAGGUUAAAGAAAUAGAAGUUAAGAAAAAAGUAAAAUCUUUAAAAGAUUGGGAAGAAGAGAUGAACAGAGUAAAAAAAAAAUUUACGGGGUAAUAUCAGUUCAUAAUUUAGCUAACAUGUUAACUUUACAAGUCUAUAGAAUAAAAGAGAGAGAGUACCGAGUAGGAUUUUCACAAAUAUAAGAUUUAACUGUAAAGAAUUUUUUACUAUUAAUGUCCAAUAACCGCAACAACUACACCCAUCCAGAAAGUUUUACUAGAAGCCUUACUCAAAAUUUAGAAGAAUUUAUAAUAGACAUAGAUAAUGGAUUCUAUUCUAUAAUAGAUCUAGCAGUACAUUUUAUCUACCUAGAACAAAAUAACAGAAUCUAUUUAGAUAAAUAUAGAAAACAAUUAUACUUAAUAUCGGAAAUAUUCAGAUAUCACCAGCCAAUCUACUCUCACUAUCAGAGAAGAAGAUUUCAAAGAAGGAGAAGAAUAUACUACUAGACAAUAUUUAUUUUACCUACUCCAGAAACUCCUCCUUUAUAGGUUAUUGUUUUUUAAUCCCCUUUACUAUUAGAAACUCCCCCUUUAUAGUUUAUUGUUUUUUAAUCCCUUUUACUAUUAGAAACCCCCCUUUAUAGUUUAUUGUUUUUUAAUCCCCUUUAUAUAUAUAUGACUACUGGUUGAGCUUAGAGAAGAGUGGUGGAACCCCAUUGCAUAUCCCGAGACAGAGAUAUCAUAUAUGAGUGGAUAUCAUAAGGUAAUGCCAGUGGCAGUUUUCACGAUAAACAACAGAAAGUGGUCUACCUAAGAGAGAGAGAGACGGAAAGAGUGCGUAUGGUGGGGUAAGAGGAAACUAAUAAAGUCAGGGGUCGGCUGUAGCCUAACAGCAUUUGGCUUUAGAGAAAUCAAUGGAACGAUUGAAAUAUCGAAAUGAAAGGAAAUGAUUGGUUCCCUAAUUCUCUGCGGUAAAAAGAGAAGAGUCUGACUUUUGUAUGUAAUGAGGAUAUUGAUUUGUCCUUAUGGGUGUCAAAGUUAUCAAACAAAUAAUUUUUAAGCCAUUUUUUGUAGUGUUUGAUAGAGUUAGAAAGUGCUUUUAAGCACUUGUUUUAAGUUUAAUGACAAAAAUAAGCCAAAAAUUAAAAUUCCUAAUUUAUGGCUUAAAAGUUAUUUUAGCUUAAACGUCACUUAAAAUAAAUUUAUCCAAACGACCUCUAAAACAUUAAAAAAUAACACUUUUUUUUUAAAAUUUAGUUGGUUAAACAGUCAUGAUAAAUAAAGAAAAAACUUUUGUUAGUCUUAUUCGGUAAUUGAAGGGGAGCCUUGGCGUAACUGAUAAAGUUACUGCCAUGUGACCAGGAGGUCUCGGGUUCAAACCGUAGAAAUAGCCUCUUGUAGAAAUGCAGGGUAAGACUGAGUACAAUAGACCCUUGUGGUCCGGCUCUUCCCCGGACCCUACGCAUAGCGGAAGCUUAGUGCACCAGGCUGCCCCGUUAAUCUGAUUUGGUAAUUACACAAAUUAUACAGAAUGAACAAUCAAUUAAAGGAUAAUUUUGAAUUGGACGGGUUAAAUUAUGACUUAUUGUUUAGUUCAGAUUGACCAAUUUUAAACCAAAAAAUUCUUUUUAUGACCAAACCAAUUUAUCACUUCAACCUGAUGUUCAACCCGUUUAUUUGAAAGAAGAAUUCGAGCCCGUUUGAAUGAGCUUGUUUUAAGUUACUUUUAAGCCAAAUAGUUUUUAAGCCAUAAGUUAGGAAUUCUAAUUUUUUGGUUUUGGCUUGUUUUUGUGAUUUUAGCUUAAAAAUAAGUGCUUAAAAGCACUUUUUUACUUUAUUCAAACAUUACAAAAUGACUUAAAAGCUAUUUUGGCUUAAAAACACUUACAACAAGCCAAUCCAAACGGGCUCUUAACCUAAAUAGUAAUUGCUUAAAUUAUGCCGCUCACAUCGCCUAUAAUAUAUGUAUAAUUAUAUAUAAUUAAUACAUAAUUUAUGUAUACUAACUAAAAAUGUAAACUAUCAAUUUGAUCUACUACUUGUAUAAUGAUUCGGGAUUUUAUUUGUCAUUGUCAUUAUAUAGUGACUUUAAGAAUCCAGCGCAUCAAUAAAGAUUGUGGUGGAAUGAUAAUCCUUGCUAAAAAUUUUGAAUUUAAGCCCCGACUAGAAAAUCACAUUUGUCAAGAGGACUGCUUUCCUUCCCCCGUUAUGAAACUUCCCGAUGCAUAUUCAAAUUUAAUCAGGCGUUAUUGCGAAUAUCAAAUACCUGACCAAAAACAAAAAAAAUGAACCUGGCCGCAGAAGGACUGAUUAUUGGGAAGAGGGGCGGACAAGAGGGGUGCAUAUCUUAUCUCUGUACCCCUUUAAGCCCUCUUUUUUAUGCACCAACUUGAUCCAUUUUUCAUUUACCCACUAGUCCCACUACUCUUGUCACCCUCACGUGAACCCAUCCUCUUCCUUUUACUUUUUGCAACUUCAACCAACUUUCUUCUUCUCUCUUAUAUAAUUAGCUGUCUACUCUAUGUAUAUAUAAAUGAAAAACUGAGACAUUUCUAGCCAUAACAAAAGAGCACCAUUAGCCACCGCUCUUACAUAAGAAUCAUCAGCUCUUCUUUCAUUUCAGAUCAAAAUCUAACAACGCUUAGCAAAAAAAAAU